AUGACGCGACACAACUCUCCCAUCGGCGAUCUCCGAAACUUCCACGACCAUGAUCCAGUCCAGGUUUCCUUUUCCCUUUUUAUUGUGUUGUUUGCUUCAUAUGACUAUGCAGAAAGAGAGAAGAAGAGAAAUAAAGAUCUGAAACUCAACGUUCUCUUUCUUCAAUUACUUGCCCAACUGCAGAACCAAAACCCAACAGCAUUAUAA